rnacentral:lncRNA from 1 species
CUCAGCCUUUGGAGUAGCUGGGACUACAGGCACAUGCCACCACACUCAGCUAAUUUUUAAAAUUUUUUUGUAGAGAUGGGCUCUCACUAUAGCCCUGUUCUGGAACUCCUGGGCUCAAGCCAUCCUCCCACUUUGGCCUCCCCAAAAUGCUGGGAUUACAGGCGUGAACCACCGCAUCUAGCCUAAAAUUAUAUUGUUAAAAGACUUUGUUUCUCAGUUUGGGAUAAUCAGAAUUCAUAGUUCUGAUCUCGACUACCAGUUUUAAUGAGGUACUUCUUUCUAACUCCAUCAGCUGUGUGGCUAUCUGCAGAUACCACCCACAUAAACAAAAACUUUUUGGGAGUCCUCCAGAAUUUUUAAGAGUUAUCUAAACUAUUGCCUUUAAUGACCAGGAACUCCAAUUUGAGAAGUUACCCUACGUUAAGCCAACAGCAGCCUGGCUCCUUCAUCCUGUGCAGUAUGGGACAGAGCUGGGUCCUUGUUGUCAUCAGCCAGACAAGCACACAUUAAAGCCCACCUUAGCCAUUGGCAUUACAGCUUUAAAAGCAGCUCCAUCCUACCAUGCUGUCACUCUACUCAAUCACGUGAUCUUAACGACCAGCUCUACAUAUCCUCUCUCCAUGCCCCCACCACCAUCCCCCACCAACAAAUCCGGUAAUCUAUCUCUGUCAAUAGUCCUGCAGUGAAUUCCGAAUAAGUUUUUCUCUUCCCUGGCCUGCCGUUUACGUAGUACCCUGGAUGAAUCUAUACUUACUCCAUAGUAAGUAGUACCUUGGAUGAAUCUAUACUUGCAUCCAAUGGAAAUGAGAGUGAUGGUGCAGAGUUAUCCGAAGUAACUCCAGCUAUGUUGUGGAUCUUCUAAUCAUGGGCUCAUCUAAGCCUUCCCAGAUAUCACUCUAGUUUUUACAAUCUUUGUUUAUGACAAUUAGGGCUGUAACAUUGGCUGUAGACAUUUGUUGCAUCAAGGAACUCAGCUUCCACUGAAGUUCUGAAGUUAAUCAGUUUCUGAUCUUGUUCUGCAACUCUCUGCAAGAAGAAAAAUCACCAGGAAAUAGUGCAUCCUGAAAGGAGUCAAAGUUUCCUUAUCCAGCUGGAGCAGUGUGAUCUCGGACCAGAGUCAAUUCCUUGCCCAACAGACUUCACAUUGAGCCAUGAGAAGCAGCCUACUUACCCUUACCUGGACACUUCUCCAAAACCUGUGAAAUGGCCUCUGUCACUGCCUCAAAGCCUCAUCCUUGGUGGGCAACUCACCUGGAUCCUGAGACCAAAAUAUAGAGCUUAAUGAACUGCUCCUCUGCUGUAAACCUACUAUCUUUUCACACUAAGAUGUAGAUAUUCUCGCCUUGCUCUACCCAGUGGUGAGCAAGGAUGUUAAUCUAGUUCUUACUUCCCCUGAGAGCCUCUUGCAACUUCACUGUUAAUAGAAAUCACUCUUUUAUGCUUGCAAAGCAUAUCCUUAUCCUUUGGUAUAAGGAAUUUAUACAAAGAUGCACAGGACUGGUGGGGUAACAAGAAAAGCCAUUUCCCUAACUGCCUGCUUAAUCUGGAUCCAAGUGCUGCUAAGACAAAGAAGUACAACAAAUUUAAUAGGAAACCAGAACAAAACCCUAAAACGAACGCUCAAGGUUGUUUGGGUUACAACCUCAGCUUGAGAGAUCUGCUCUGGCAUUUAUACUUCCUAAAAUAGAGAAUUUGAGUGAAUGAGGUGGCCACCAUCCAAAUGAAGUGCCUCAACUGGGAAGAGAUUCAUGCCAACCUGCUAGGGCAUGGUGUUUAGCCUUUCUUAUAUUUAGUCAAUUCAUGGGCUCAUCAUUUGGGGUGAGGUCAUCAGGAUGGUGCCACUCAAUUCACUUGGCAAGAGCCACAGCAACUGAUGUAGGAAGAAGCCUGUUGGAGUUUCUUUUACUAAAGGGCACCUGGGGGCCAAGGAUACAUG